CCACAGGCACCUGUACGAGGAGGUCAGGCAGGCAGAGAGUCCUGCGCCCGUAGCGGGCAUCUCGUCAGUGGUCUGGGAGGGAGUGCAGGCGCGGGGCCUGGACAACGGGCUCAAGGACCUGAAUUGGUUGAGCGUUUGCCGGUACUUUCCAUCUUGUGCCGGUAUAGUUUGGUGCAAUCCCCCACCUGUCCAAGAUCCUCUUAUGGUAGGGAGGAGACUGUGCGCCAUGCCUUCUGGGACUGUGCCUUUGCCGGACUAGUCUGGGCUAGGGCACGGGUGAUGCUAGGUGUGGUUAGGAGUGAUUUUCUUUUGACAUGGGCUAGGCUAGAUAGAGGCGUAGGGAGAGCAAAGGGAACGGAUAGGGACAGGUUUCUGCUCUGGCUUCUCAUGAGUCUCUUUAAAAAGGGACUGUGGGAAGCCAGGAAGAAUUUAGUCAAGGCAGGGAGAGAUUGGGAGGUGGAAGGGAUAGUGAGAAGGGUGGAAGGUGAUUUGAGGGGGAGGAUGAAGAGGGAGGAGAGGAAGUGGGGGAAGCAUGCGGCACGGGAGAGGUGGAAAGGGGGGUUUAGGGCUGGGAGUGUUAGAGUGAGUUUGGUAAGGGGAUAGAUUAGGGAAAGGGUUAGGUAUUGGUUAUGUAUGACGGGGAGGGACGAUGCUCCCCUGAGGUUUGUUUUUGUUUGGUGUUUGGUGAUUUGGUUUUGUAAAUAUAAGUAAUUAAGAAUGAAUGAGAGAUAUGAUUUUGUAAAGUGUGAAUGGUAUUGAUUGUAAAUAAAUUAUUUUAACCACCACCUUUUUGGUUUACUUCCUGUCUUUAAGUUUGUUGUGGGUUUUUCUUUUGUUUGCGGCUUCUUGGGCAGAUUUAGUGGGUCUCAUGGUGGGUGUCUUUCAUGUCCCAGUUGUUGUUACUAGUCAACUUCCAGUGGACACCCCCAUAGUGUCUUUCAGAGCCUCCUAAAAAACAAGCUAAUAUUUUGGGUUGGAUAUUGCAUCCAAUUAAUAUUUCAAUCAAUGGAAUUUCCUUAAUGUUCAUUAGUCUUUCAGUUGUUAAUCUUCUGUUUGUUGUGUACUAAAUAUUUUUGUUUAUUUUCAUUUUGUUUUUUUUCCUGUGAAGCCAUUAUGUUGCAUCCAUGUCUGAAAUGUGCUGUAUAAAUAAAGCUUGAUUUGAUUUCAACAAAUGAACCCAACGACUGACCAAUCAACAGACUCUUGGUCCCUCUUAGUAUGAAAAACAGUAUCAAUCCCACUUUUCCAGCAUGGUGGAGUAGUAAACACCACCCCCAGCUCUACCAAUGGCUUGAGGUGGUCUCCCACAACUCUGCUUAUGUCAUGCUCUGUGGCCUUGCCGUUCCAUUUCUUGACUGUACCUGCAACACAGAAAUAAACAUAUUUAGUCAUAUUAUAUAAAACAUAAGUAAUGGAUAUGGAGCAUCUAUGGCCUCAGUUACACCUAGCACCUAAAUGUGACUUUUGUCAUCUGAUCACUCCAAACUGCAUUAGGUUCAGAUCUACCAGGAUGGGCCUUUGAUAGUCUGGACGUAGUCAGGCUAUUGAAUAUAAAUAAGCAACGUAAAGAGGUGGGGAGAAGUACAUUCUACACAAAUGACCAUAAUAGCAAAGAACAAAUGUGUGUGCCUGAGGGGAAAUUAACUUUCAUACAGCCAAAAGGGAUGAGAAAUUACACCAAUAUCUGGACAAUUGGCACUAAUGUAAAUAAACAUAGAUGAUGGAACAUACUCCCUUAUGCUGACGUGAUGAACCACUAAGGGGACAUAAAUAUUUACCAUCUAAACCAUGUGUGACCUCUCUGGCUGUAGAAGUGUUCUUCCUAACCAGUCCCUCAACAGCUCUCUGACUGAGCUCCACCCUCACUGGGUCUUCAGAGGGGAGGAAGGCUGAGGAAGGUUGGUUGAAAGGAUAAAUGGAUCAGUCAGUCAAUAAAGUGUAGAGCUGCUGUCUGACAAAAUCACUAUUUUAGUAGUUCAUUAAAGUAAAUAAGGCUUUAUGACUGCUGAAUAUGAACUAUCAAUCACUUAGAUUGUGUAUUUUCAGGUAGCUAUACUUCCCUAGCCCAUUGAAGUUGACAUUUAAAAUGGUUAAGUUAGGGGUUAGGUUUAGGGUAGGGAUGUCCCAAGAAUCCCAGAUAGCAUUGACCAUUGUACAUUUCUAUCCGAUGUGAAAUGGCUAGCUAGCUUGCGGGGUGUGCGCUAAUAGCGAUGGUAACGAUGUUUCGUGGGAGGCAGUUGUUGAUGUGUGCAAGAGUCCCUGGUUCGAGCCCAGGUAGGAGGGAGGAGAGGGACGGAAGCUUUUCUGUUACACAUUCUUCGGUCUCUUACGUAGCAGGUGUAAAAGAAACACAGACAAGACACGUAGGCGCUCAGGUCAUCCCCUGUCAUUGUAGUUCAAAUAAAUGGCAUCUAAUUAUGCGUAACUGUAUGUGGGGUUGUUAGAGAAGAAUGUUAUUGUCAUCCCUAACAAUCUAUUCCAGCACCUCAUCAGGUUCUGAAAAAGUCUUCAUUGAUGACGUGUUCCUUCUAUUCCAGGGCACAGCAGAGGAACUUCAUCGAUUCUACUCCUUCAUCAAUACAAGCAGUGAACAUCUGAAAUUCACCCUCACCUUUCAUACGCAUGAAACAAGUUACCCGAUGGUUGGACGAUACUUUUCUCGUCAAUCAUUUUAAAUACUAUACUUAAAAACUGGAAAUGAACCAAUCCUCCAUUAUUAAUGCAAUAGAAAGGUCAAAUGCUUUAUUAUCUAAAAAUGUAAAGUGCUGGGUGACGGUGAGAAAUAAAAUGGUGCAGUUUGAGGCCAUGUGGCGGACAGUGAUGCAGGAGCUGGAGGUGUGUUCUAGUGGGUCUGGGCAGGUGUGAUGUAGUUAAUGGAGAUGGAGGUGUGUUCUAGUGGGUCUGGACAGGUGUGAUGUAGUUAAUGGAGAUGGAGGUGUGUUCUAGUGGGUCUGGGGAGGUGUGAUGUAGUUAAUGGAGAUGGAGGUGUGUUCUAGUGGGUCUGGACAUGGAGAUGGAGGUGUGUUCUAGUGGGUCUGGGCAGGUGUGAUGUAGUUAAUGGAGGUGUGUUCUAGUGGGUCUGGGCAGGUGUGAUGUAGUUAAUGGAGAUGGAGGUGUGUUCUAGUGGGUCUGGGCAGGUGUGAUGUAGUUAAUGGAGAUGGAGGUGUGUUCUAGUGGGUCUGGGCAGGUGUGAUGUAGUUAAUGGAGAUGGAGGUGUGUUCUAGUGGGUCUGGGCAGGUGUGAUGUAGUUAAUGGAGAUGGAGGUGUGUUCUAGUGGGUCUGGGCACGUGUGAUGUAGUUUAUGGAG